GCUAAACAUUUAGCCUAAACUUUUUAUUCACGCUCAACACCCCAUUAAAAUAUUUUAACAUUUUAGUAGAGACGACCAAAAAACUAAUAAGAGCUAUACUAAAGUACCGCAAGGGAAAAAUGAAAUAGUAAUGAAACACUAAAAAAAGCAUAAAAAAGUAAAGAUAAUAACUUGUACCUUUUGCAUCAUGGUUUAACUAGUAUAAUCGAGCAAAAGGAUUCUUAGUUUGACUCCCCGAAACUGAAUGAGCUACUUCAGGGCAGCUUUCUGAGCUAACCCGUCCCUGUUGCAAAAUGGUGGGGAGACCCUGCAGUAGCGGUGAUAUGCCUAACGAAUUCAGUAAUAGCUGGUUACUCGGAAAAAGAAUUUUAGUCCAACCUAAAGUUACCUAAUAAAAUGAACUACUUACUUUAGAGCAAUUCAAAUAAGGUACAGCCUAUUUGACACAGGACACAACCUCUAAUAACGGCUAACUCACAUUAAACUUAAAUUAAGUGGGCCUAAAAGCAGCCACCUUUAAAGGGCGUCAAAGCCUAAUUUUUGUUUUAUCCAAUCCCAAAACCCAUAAAGAACCCUUCAUCAAUACUGAGUACUUCUAUAUCUUUAUAGAAAUUUUUAUGUUAAAACUAGUAACAAGAAAACAUUUCUCUUAAAAUGCAAGUAUAAAUCAGAACGGACCCCCCCCCACUGAUAGUUACACCUAACAACAGCAACCCACACCCUCGAAAAUCCUGCUUCUUCAACCGUUAACCUAACACAAGAGCAUUUCAAGAAAGAUUUUAAAAAAAAGAAGGAAC
rnacentral:rRNA from 1 species